GAAUAUGGAAGCAAAGCUUUCGAUUGUGUCUAGCCAUGGUUGCAUGGAAGUCCAAAAUGGAAUAUCAUUAGGAGAUACACCACCGAGCUCUUACAGAAAUCGAAGAUCUACCAGAAGUGCAAAUUCGCAUUUACUCUUAGGAUGCAAGAAGUAUAAUAUUCCAAAUUAAUUGGAGAGUCAACAAGUGCUUUCAAAGUCAUUCGAUAAAGUUCAUUUUGGUGUUUAAAUCCUAGUUUAACUAUUCUAUGCUUUCUUCAUUUCAAUUGCACCAAAAUUGCUGAUUGAAAGUCCAAUUUUGAAACAGAGUAAAAAUUUGAAAUUUCGCUCUUUUUCAUAAAUUUAUAUCAGGAUAAGUAUAAUAUAAUUUUGCCGACAGACAGAAGCCCAUACAACAUAAUAAUGGCGGAGGUUCUUUCGGCAGCCGGUCGGUGUCGGUCGGUGUCGGUAUGCCGUAUCAUUAUGCAAUACUGCGGACAGAGAAGGACAAAUAUAUUAUGUGCGAUUGCGCUCGAGCACUAUUUCGCACUCUAUUCCACGCAUAGGAUUAAUGCGCAAGACAAGGACAAAGAUACGAUGCGUAGACGCCGGCACGCGUGUCGAGCGGUGGGGAUUGGCGUGCAUCGACAGCAUCGACAGCACUUGGCCUUCGACUGCGGCGGUGUACGGCUAGAAGGGUCUCGGCGAAGUGGACUCGACCGGAUUGUUUCUUCAGUAUGUUCAGUGAGUGAAUUGAAUUCUGUAUCGAAGCUGCGAUUCCGAUAACCGAUUACGUUUAGUACAUAUUGAGUUACAACAAUUAGGUAGUCCAGACAAGAUGUUGCAGUCCAUUUCACAGGAGAAAUUAAAAUUGAUGCAGUCUAAUUUACGUGAGGCAUUGAACCUGAUGCAAUACAGUUUACAGGAG